UAUAAUGUUUAACUCUUCGUCUUAUUAAAAAAUUUACGAUUAAUAAUUUUAUUUAUAUUAGAUGAUAAAAUAUAAAUAGUAUUUUAUGUGUGACUAAUUUUUUUAAAAUUUCUUAAAAAAUUUUCAAAUAAGACGGAUGGUCAAAUGCUCGACAUAAAAACC
rnacentral:pre_miRNA from 1 species